GAGAAAUUAUUUUAAAUAAAAAUAUGAAUCUGUCAGAUUUAAGUUACUAUAAAGUAUUUCUUU
rnacentral:tRNA from 1 species